GCACAAGCAGCGGAGCGUGUGGUUUAAUUCGAAGCAACGCGAAGAACCUUACCAGGUCUUGACAUCCCCUGACAACCCGAGAGAUCGGGCGUUCCCCGUUCGGGGGGACAGGGUGACAGGUGGUGCAUGGUUGUCGUCAGCUCGUGUCGUGAGAUGUUGGGUUAAGUCCCGCAACGAGCGCAACCCUCGACCUUAGUUGCCAGCAUUCAGUUGGGCACUCUAAGGUGACUGCCGGCUAAAAGUCGGAGGAAGUGGGGAUGACGUCAAAUCAUCAUGCCCCUUAUGACCUGGGCUACACACGUGCUACAAUGGGCGGUACAAAGGGUCGCGAACCCGCGAGGGGGAGCCAAUCCCAAAAAGCCGCUCUCAGUUCGGAUUGCAGGCUGCAACUCGCCUGCAUGAAGCCGGAAUCGCUAGUAAUCGCGGAUCAGCAUGCCGCGGUGAAUACGUUCCCGGGCCUU
rnacentral:rRNA from 1 species